CCCCAAUGUAUAAGCCAAUCAGAAAAUGACGAACGAAUAUAAACCCUGCAUGGCUUACGUCAUUUCACUGAAACAUUGAUUGUACUGAAUGACAUGGAAAAGAGUUGAAUCUUCAAAACAAUGCUAAUUUUAUACCAAGGUGGAGCUAGUCAUAGAACGUAGUGGUAAAUUUGAGCGACCACUCUGGUCUUAAGAUCUUUAAAGCAAUGAAAUCAUGACAUGAUGUCUCGCUCGUUUUCUUUGGUUCGAACAUGAAGGAAGUGGCAAGCUAGCCAUAUAUAACAACAGAAUACUACUAAAGUUAAUACUUAAUCCAAAUAAGGUUAUUUUCAGGUUUAAUAUAUCGAGAUUUUGGGCAUCUCGCUCGAUAUAACUAACAAGUGAAUGACUUUUGUUGAAUUUCGAGCGGAAGACAAGAUUGACAGUUGCGAGAAGUUUUAAAAUCUGUUUGGGUUUUAGGGGCUGUUUAUAUGGAAGCGAGCCAGCCUGGGUACCCGAGCUGGCUCGCAUCCCCGAGAUGAAUUUCACCACGCGUUUACAUGAAACUUACGUGAAGGGCUGGCUCUUUUU